UUACUAUAGAAUACUUCAUUCAUCU
rnacentral:snRNA from 1 species